rnacentral:rRNA from 1 species
AUAGACCGUACCCGAAACCGACACAGGUGGUCAGGUAGAGUAUACCAAGGCGCUUGAGUGAAGUAUCCUGAAGGAACUCGGCAAAUUGCCUCCGUACCUUCGGAAGAAGGAGGCCCUGAAUUGAGGCAACUCUUUUCAGGGGGCACAGGCCAGGGGGUAGCGACUGUUUAUCAAAAACACAGGACUCUGCUAAGUCG